rnacentral:rRNA from 1 species
UACGAAGGGGGCUAGCGUUGUUCGGAAUUACUGGGCGUAAAGCGCACGUAGGCGGACUAUUAAGUCAGGGGUGAAAUCCCGGGGCUCAACCCCGGAACUGCCUUUGAUACUGGUAGUCUCGAGUCCGGAAGAGGUGAGUGGAACUGCGAGUGUAGAGGUGAAAUUCGUAGAUAUUCGCAAGAACACCAGUGGCGAAGGCGGCUCACUGGCCCGGUACUGACGCUGAGGUGCGAAAGCGUGGGGAGCAAACAGGG